rnacentral:lncRNA from 1 species
GGAUUUCAGAGGACAUGUUAACAACAUUCUCUGCGCUAUUGAUUAGACUGUUAAAAAAUCACCUGAACCAACAACGUUCUUUAUUGAUAACGAAGCUGUUGUCUAGAUUUUGACCAGUUUUGUCUUUUAAAUAAUCACUAUUAAAGAUUAUUUUACCAAUAUUCCUUUUGUCUUUGUCGACAAGACUCAUUACCAACUAUAUACAGAAGAAUCAGACUUCAAUAAAAAAAUAAGAAGAUGUGGUAUGAUUGCCAAUGAGACAAUUCUCCACCAGAGACCAAAUGACACACAAAUCAACAACUCAAAACAAUUCCCAAUUGUCCCACAUUUAAACUUCCCAACUGUCCC